CGGAAAUUGCGCGUGCUAUAAUGCAGUCGACGAACUCUGGUAUUGAUUGGUGCUUGCAUCAUGAUUUACAUUUGAGUGAGUGGCGAACUGGUGAGUAACACGUGGGAAACCUGCCCAGAAGCGGGGGAUAACACCUGGAAACAGAUGCUAAUACCGCAUAACAACUUGGACCGCAUGGUCCGAGUUUGAAAGAUGGCUUCGGCUAUCACUUUUGGAUGGUCCCGCGGCGUAUUAGCUAGAUGGUGGGGUAACGGCUCACCAUGGCAAUGAUACGUAGCCGACCUGAGAGGGUAAUCGGCCACAUUGGGACUGAGACACGGCCCAAACUCCUACGGGAGGCAGCAGUAGGGAAUCUUCCACAAUGGACGAAAGUCUGAUGGAGCAACGCCGCGUGAGUGAAGAAGGGUUUCGGCUCGUAAAACUCUGUUGUUAAAGAAGAACAUAUCUGAGAGUAACUGUUCAGGUAUUGACGGUAUUUAACCAGAAAGCCACGGCUAACUACGUGCCAGCAGCCGCGGUAAUACGUAGGUGGCAAGCGUUGUCCGGAUUUAUUGGGCGUAAAGCGAGCGCAGGCGGUUUUUUAAGUCUGAUGUGAAAGCCUUCGGCUCAACCGAAGAAGUGCAUCGGAAACUGGGAAACUUGAGUGCAGAAGAGGACAGUGGAACUCCAUGUGUAGCGGUGAAAUGCGUAGAUAUAUGGAAGAACACCAGUGGCGAAGGCGGCUGUCUGGUCUGUAACUGACGCUGAGGCUCGAAAGUAUGGGUAGCAAACAGGAUUAGAUACCCUGGUAGUCCAUACCGUAAACGAUGAAUGCUAAGUGUUGGAGGGUUUCCGCCCUUCAGUGCUGCAGCUAACGCAUUAAGCAUUCCGCCUGGGGAGUACGGCCGCAAGGCUGAAACUCAAAGGAAUUGACGGGGGCCCGCACAAGCGGUGGAGCAUGUGGUUUAAUUCGAAGCUACGCGAAGAACCUUACCAGGUCUUGACAUACUAUGCAAAUCUAAGAGAUUAGACGUUCCCUUCGGGGACAUGGAUACAGGUGGUUGCAUGGUUGUCGUCAGCUCGUGUCGUGAGAUGUUUGGGGUUAAGUCCCGCAA
rnacentral:rRNA from 2 species